rfam:Schistosoma margrebowiei strain Zambia genome assembly, scaffold: SMRZ_contig0001780
AUCCAGCUGACCAGUACCAAAUAGAAUGAAACGCGCUUCAAACUGGAU